rnacentral:rRNA from 1 species
GACGUAGGGGGCCAGCGUUGUUCGGAAUUACUGGGUGUAAAGGGCGCGUAGGCGGCCUUCUAAGUCAGACGUGAAAUCCCCCGGCUUAACCUGGGAACUGCGUCUGAUACUGGGAGGCUUGAGUAUGGGAGAGGGAUGUAGAAUUCCAGGUGUAGCGGUGAAAUGCGUAGAUAUCUGGAGGAAUACCGGUGGCGAAGGCGGCAUCCUGGACCAUUACUGACGCUGAGGCGCGAAAGCUAGGGGAGCAAACGGG